rnacentral:rRNA from 1 species
CCUACGGGUGGCAGCAGUGAGGAAUAUUGGUCAAUGGACGCGAGUCUGAACCAGCCAUGUAGCGUGAAGGAUGACUGCCCUCUGGGUUGUAAACUUCUUUUAUAUGGGAAUAAAAUGUUCCACGUGUGGGAUUUUGUAUGUACCAUAUGCAUAAGGAUCGGCUAACUCCGUGCCAGCAGCCGCGGUAAUACGGAGGAUCCGAGCGUUGUCCGGAUUUAUUGGGUUUAAAGGGAGCGUAGGUGGAUUGUUAAGUCAGUUGUGAAAGUUUGCGGCUCAACCGUAAAAUUGCAGUUGAAACUGGCAGUCGUGAGUACAGUAGAGGUGGGUGGAAUUCGUGGUGUAGCGGUGAAAUGCUUAGAGAUCACGAAGAACUCCGAUUGCGAAGGCAGCCCACUGGACUGCAACUGACACUGAGGCGCGAAAGUGUGGGUAUCAAACAGGAUUAGAUACCCCGGUAGUC